rnacentral:rRNA from 1 species
AACGUAGGGGACAAGCGUUAUCCGGAUUUACUGGGCGUAAAGCGCAUGUAGGUGGCUUAUCAAGUUGGACGUGAAAGCUCCCGGCUUAACUGGGAGAGGUCGUACAAAACUGGCAAGCUAGAGGAUGGAAGAGGAGAGCGGAAUUCCCGGUGUAGUGGUGGAAUGCGUAGAUAUCGGGAGGAACACCAGUGGCGAAAGCGGCUCUCUGGUUCGUGCCUGACACUGAGAUGCGAAAGCGUGGGGAGCGAACGGGAUUAGAAACCCUCGUAGUCC